rnacentral:rRNA from 1 species
GGCUCUUUGAAUUAUAAAGAUAAAGAGUCGGACCUGCCCAGUGAAAAUAAUUUAACGGCCGCGGUACUCUGACCGUGCAAAGGUAGCAUAAUCAUUUGCCUUAUAAUUGAAGGCUUGUAUGAAUGGUUUGACAAGAAUAAAGCUGUCUCUAUAUAAUUUUAUAGAAUUUUAUUUUUAAGUGAAGAAGCUUAGAUAAUAUUAAUAGACAAGAAGACCCUAUCGAGCUUUAAAUAAUAUUAUAAAGGUUAAAUUAAUGAAUUUAAAAAAUGAUUUAUAAUGGAUUUUGGUUGGGGCGACUUAGGAACAUGAGAAGCUUCCUAAAUUAAUAAAAAAGGCAAUUGAUCCAAAAUAUUUUGAUUAAUGAAAUUAGUUACCGUAGGGAUAACAGCAUAAUUUUCUUUAAGAGUUCUAAUCGAAAAGAAAGUUUGUGACCUCGAUGUUGGACCAGAAUAUCCUGAAGAUGCAGCAGUCUUCAAGGGUUGGUCUGUUCGACCAUUAAAAUUCUACG